GGUGGCUCAGUGGUAGAGUUCUUGCCUUGCAUGCAUGAGGCCUGGGUUCGAUUCCUCAGUACCA
rnacentral:tRNA from 1 species